UUAGCUGACAGCUCGUGGACUGUGGUGAGGCAGCGCGAGUGGAUUCAGCAUGUUUCUAUUUUUUAGCCUUCCCAUUUACUCUGGAAGUAGUCGCGUAAAUGAACGGUGCAUGACAUAAAGGAGGAUAUUUUACCCUGAAGUAAAUAAAGUGAACUGUUUAGUGAUGGCAGUGCGACCGCCUCCCUGUGUGAUUGACUGCGGGACGGGUCCAAGAACAUGCAGGUUAAGUGAAUUGGAGACUCUAAAUUGCCCUGCAGGUGUGAGUGAGAGUACCCCAGCCACUGGGGGUUGUGUCAGGAAGGACAUCCUGCAUAAAACCUGUGCCAAGUCAAAUAUGCUGAUCAAGGAUGGUCCGCUGUGGAGCUGCCGAUAGAGGAAGAAUCCGGCAUAUAAUACAGGUACACCAAGAUUGGCUAUGCAGGAAACACAGAGCCGCAGUUCAUCAUGCUGUCCUGUGAGCUGUCUGACACUUUAAAUUGUUAAUAGCACAGCAGGACCGAUCAGACCAGACUAAUACUGCUCUCUGUCCAACACUCAGUUCCAGGAUAUGAUAUUUGGAUCAGGAUUUUAAUUAAACUUUGCCUUAGGGAAACACUAUUUAAAGCCAUUAUAAAACUCAGUUCACCAAUGCUAUAACCUCAGUUUUGGCUCAGAGCCAAGUUUAUAAUAACACUUACUAGCUUUUGUUCAAGGAUACUGUAAUACAGUGGUUUCUCAACUAGUAGAUCACCGUCUGUUCUGUUCUGGGUCAUGGCAACACACUCUCAUAACAAUAUUUAUUUAUAGCGACUUUUUGCCUGCACCACAUCAAUAAAGAUCAAAUAGAUCCCAUUAUAAUUGAUAAAGCUGUCUACACUGGAAGCAUCCAUUGUGGCACGUUGUAGCACAUCAUGUAAUGUAGCGUCAACAGUAAACAGAUGCCCUGUUCUAUUACUGACGUGCUGUAGAGUAAUCCAGCCACUUUAUUAUCCUGUCUGUCUAAAAUAAAAUGAUUUUACUUACCAAAUAUCAUACGUUUGAAUCAUUUUGCCAUUAUUUUGUUUGUUACAUACUUAAAUAAACUUCUGUCUC